AUGUUUCCCCCUGGCCUGAUCCACCACCGCACGGACGGCCCCGGGCCCGGCGAGGUGCCGCGCUCCGGCGGCGCGCCCAGCCUCGUGCUCACGGCGGACCCCAAGCCCCGACUCCGGUGGACGGCCGACCUCCACGAGCGCUUCGUCGACGCCGUCGCCCAGCUCGGCGGGCCCGAGAAAGCAACACCAAAAACUAUCUUAAGGACAAUGGGUGUAAAGGGACUAACGCUUUUCCACUUGAAGAGUCAUCUUCAGAAAUACAGAAUGGGGAAACAAACUGGGAAGGAGACGCCGGAGCAAUCUAAAGAUGGGUCUUAUCUUCUUGAUGCUCAAGGUGGAAUGAGCCUGUCUCCCAGAGUUUCUACUCAAGAUGCGAAAGAAAGUCAAGAAGUUAAAGAAGCCCUGAGAGCACAGAUGGAGAUGCAACGAAGCCUGCAUGAACAAGUGGAGGUUCAGAAGCAUGUGGACAUCAGGAUGGACGCGUACACGACGUACAUCAACACCCUGCUGGAGAAGGCCUGCAAGAUCGUCUCGGAGCAGUUCGCGUCGAGCGGCUUCAGCGUCUCCGACCAGAGUCUCCCGGAGCUGUCCUCCGGCGGCGUCAUGUGCGGCACCGCCACCGACGCGCUGAGCUCCUCCGUGUUCCACCAGCUCUCCGUCAGCUCGAUCAACAUGCACAGCCCGGGGGGCAAGCCUUCUCCGUCGGGCAUGGAAGGCCAGCUGCUUCUCCAGAGGUCACCCGAGUUCAAACGCAAGUCAUCCUGCUGA
rnacentral:rRNA from 1 species